GCUCCGGUAGCCUAUUGUUAAGAGCGUCCGCCUCGGAUGUAGGAGAUCGUGGGUUCGAACCCCAGCCGAGUCA